rnacentral:rRNA from 1 species
UUUUCAUCAGACAAUCUGUGUGAGCACUNNNNNNNNNNNNNNNNNNNNUUCUUUAAGGUAAGGAGGUGAUCCAACCGCAGGUUCCCCUACGGUUACCUUGUUACGACUUCACCCCAGUCAUGAAUCACAAAGUGGUAAGCGCCCUCCCGAAGGUUAAGCUACCUACUUCUUUUGCAACCCACUCCCAUGGUGUGACGGGCGGUGUGUACAAGGCCCGGGAACGUAUUCACCGUGGCAUUCUGAUCCACGAUUACUAGCGAUUCCGACUUCAUGGAGUCGAGUUGCAGACUCCAAUCCGGACUACGACGCACUUUAUGAGGUCCGCUUGCUCUCGCGAGGUCGCUUCUCUUUGUAUGCGCCAUUGUAGCACGUGUGUAGCCCUGGUCGUAAGGGCCAUGAUGACUUGACGUCANNNNNNNNNNNNNNNNNNNNUGGUCGUAAGGGCCAUGAUGACUUGACGUCAUCCCCACCUUCCUCCAGUUUAUCACUGGCAGUCUCCUUUGAGUUCCCGGCCGGACCGCUGGCAACAAAGGAUAAGGGUUGCGCUCGUUGCGGGACUUAACCCAACAUUUCACAACACGAGCUGACGACAGCCAUGCAGCACCUGUCUCACGGUUCCCGAAGGCACAUUCUCAUCUCUGAAAACUUCCGUGGAUGUCAAGACCAGGUAAGGUUCUUCGCGUUGCAUCGAAUUAAACCACAUGCUCCACCGCUUGUGCGGGCCCCCGUCAAUUCAUUUGAGUUUUAACCUUGCGGCCGUACUCCCCAGGCGGUCUACUUAACGCGUUAGCUCCGGAAGCCACGCCUCAAGGGCACAACCUCCAAGUAGACAUCGUUUACGGCGUGGACUACCAGGGUAUCUAAUCCUGUUUGCUCCCCACGCUUUCGCACCUGAGCGUCAGUCUUUGUCCAGGGGGCCGCCUUCGCCACCGGUAUUCCUCCAGAUCUCUACGCAUUUCACCGCUACACCUGGAAUUCUACCCCCCUCUACAAGACUCAAGCCUGCCAGUUUCGAAUGCAGUUCCCAGGUUGAGCCCGGGGAUUUCACAUCCGACUUGACAGACCGCCUGCGUGCGCUUUACGCCCAGUAAUUCCGAUUAACGCUUGCACCCUCCGUAUUACCGCGGCUGCUGGCACGGAGUUAGCCGGUGCUUCUUCUGCGGGUAACGUCAAUUGCUGCGGUUAUUAACCACAACACCUUCCUCCCCGCUGAAAGUACUUUACAACCCGAAGGCCUUCUUCAUACACGCGGCAUGGCUGCAUCAGGCUUGCGCCCAUUGUGCAAUAUUCCCCACUGCUGCCUCCCGUAGGAGUCUGGACCGUGUCUCAGUUCCAGUGUGGCUGGUCAUCCUCUCAGACCAGCUAGGGAUCGUCGCCUUGGUGAGCCGUUACCUCACCAACAAGCUAAUCCCAUCUGGGCACAUCUGAUGGCAAGAGGCCCGAAGGUCCCCCUCUUUGGUCUUGCGACGUUAUGCGGUAUUAGCCACCGUUUCCAGUAGUUAUCCCCCUCCAUCAGGCANNNNNNNNNNNNNNNNNNNNCCCGUCCGCCACUCGUCAGCAAAGCAGCAAGCUGCUUCCUGUUACCGUUCGACUUGCAUGUGUUAGGCCUGCCGCCAGCGUUCAAUCUGAGCCAUGAUCAAACUCUUCAAUUUAAAAGUUUGAUGCUCAAUGAAUUAAACUUCGUAAUGAAUUACGUGUUCACUCUUGAGACUUGGUAUUCAUUUUUCGUC